rnacentral:rRNA from 1 species
ACAGUGGACGCGAGCAUCUGUGGCCAAGUUUUUAAGGGCGCACGGUGGAUGCCUUGGCACCAGGAACCGAUGAAGGACGUGGGAGGCCACGAUAGGCCCCGGGGAGCUGUCAACCAAGCUGUGAUCCGGGGGUGUCCGAAUGGGGAAACCCGGCAGUCGUCAUGGGCUGUCACCCGCUGCUGAACACAUAGGCAGUGUGGAGGGAACGCGGGGAAGUGAAACAUCUCAGUACCCGCAGGAAGAGAAAACAACCGUGAUUCCGGGAGUAGUGGCGAGCGAAACCGGAUGAGGCCAAACCGUUUGUGUGUGAUACCCGGCAGGGGUUGCGCAGGCGGGGUUGUGGGAUCUCUCUUUCAUAGUCUGCCGGCUGUGAGACGAGUCAGAAACCGUAGUGAUAGGCGAAGGACAUGCGAAAGGUCCGGCGUAGAGGGUAAGACCCCCGUAGCUGAAAUCAUUGCGGCUCGUUUGAGAGACACCCAAGUAGCACGGGGCCCGAGAAAUCCCGUGUGAAUCUGGCGGGACCACCCGCUAAGCCUAAAUAUUCCCUGGUGACCGAUAGCGGAUAGUACCGUGAGGGAAUGGUGAAAAGUACCGCGGGAGCGGAGUGAAAUAGUACCUGAAACCGUGUGCCUACAAGCCGUGGGAGCGUCGCACAAGGAGCUUGCUUCUUGUGUCGUGACUGCGUGCCUUUUGAAGAAUGAGCCUGCGAGUUUGCGGUGUGUUGCGAGGUUAACCCGUGUGGGGAAGCCGUAGCGAAAGCGAGUCCGAAUAGGGCGAUUGAGUAGCGCGCCCAAGACCCGAAGCGGAGUGAUCUAGCCAUGGGCAGGUUGAAGCGGAGGUAAGACUUCGUGGAGGACCGAACCCACCAGGGUUGAAAACCUGGGGGAUGACCUGUGGUUAGGGGUGAAAGGCCAAUCAAACUCCGUGAUAGCUGGUUCUCCCCGAAAUGCAUUUAGGUGCAGCGUCGUGUGUUUCUUGCCGGAGGUAGAGCACUGGAUAGGCGAUGGGCCCUACCGGGUUACUGACCUUAGCCAAACUCCGAAUGCCGGUAAGUGAGAGCGCGGCAGUGAGACUGUGGGGGAUAAGCUCCAUGGUCGAGAGGGAAACAGCCCAGAGCAUCGACUAAGGCCCCUAAGCGUACGCUAAGUGGGAAAGGAUGUGGAGUCGCAGAGACAACCAGGAGGUUGGCUUAGAAGCAGCCACCCUUGAAAGAGUGCGUAAUAGCUCACUGGUCAAGUGAUUCCGCGCCGACAAUGUAGCGGGGCUCAAGCGUACCGCCGAAGUCGUGUCAUUGCAGCAUGAGGGCCAACGCCCGCUGUGAUGGGUAGGGGAGCGUCGUGUGCCGGGUGAAGCAGCCGCGGAAGCGAGUUGUGGACGGUUCACGAGUGAGAAUGCAGGCAUGAGUAGCGAUACACACGUGGGAAACGUGUGCGCCGAUUGACUAAGGGUUCCUGGGUCAAGCUGAUCUGCCCAGGGUAAGUCGGGACCUAAGGCGAGGCCGACAGGCGUAGUCGAUGGACAACCGGUUGAUAUUCCGGUACCCGCUUUGAAACGCCCAAUAUCGAAUCAGGCGAUGCUAAGUCCGUGAAGCCGUUCCGGACCCUUCGGGGAAUGGAAAGUGGUGGAGCCGACGAUCCAGACUUGUAGUAGGUAAGCGAUGGGGUGACGCAGGAAGGUAGUCCAGCCCGGGCGGUGGUUGUCCCGGGGUAAGGGUGUAGGCCGUGUGGUAGGUAAAUCCGUCACACGUUAAGGCUGAGACCUGAUGCCGAGCCGAUUGUGGUGAAGUGGAUGAUCCUAUGCUGUCGAGAAAAGCCUCUAGCGAGUUUCAUGGCGGCCCGUACCCUAAACCGACUCAGGUGGUCAGGUAGAGAAUACCGAGGCGUUCGGGUGAACUAUGGUUAAGGAACUCGGCAAAAUGCCCCCGUAACUUCGGGAGAAGGGGGGCCAUGUCCGGUGAUGAGUCUUGCACUCUGAGCUGGGUGUGGCCGCAGAGACCAGCGAGAAGCGACUGUUUACUAAAAACACAGGUCCGUGCGAAGCCGUAAGGCGAUGUAUACGGACUGACGCCUGCCCGGUGCUGGAACGUUAAGGGGACCGGUUAGCUCUGUUUCGACAGGGCGAAGCUGAGAACUUAAGCGCCAGUAAACGGCGGUGGUAACUAUAACCAUCCUAAGGUAGCGAAAUUCCUUGUCGGGUAAGUUCCGACCUGCACGAAUGGCGUAACGACUUCUCGACUGUCUCAACCAUAGGCCCGGUGAAAUUGCACUACGAGUAAAGAUGCUCGUUUCGCGCAGCAGGACGGAAAGACCCCGGGACCUUUACUAUAGCUUGAUAUUGGUGUUCGGUUCGGCUUGUGUAGGAUAGGUGGGAGACUGUGAAGCAUGCACGCCAGUGUGUGUGGAGUCGUCGUUGAAAUACCACUCUGGUCGUGCUGGAUGUCUAACCUGGGUCCGUGAUCCGGAUCAGGGACAGUGUCUGGUGGGUAGUUUAACUGGGGCGGUUGCCUCCUAAAGGGUAACGGAGGCGCCCAAAGGUUCCCUCAGCCUGGUUGGCAAUCAGGUGUUGAGUGUAAGUGCACAAGGGAGCUUGACUGUGAGACCGACGGGUCGAGCAGGGACGAAAGUCGGGACUAGUGAUCCGGCGGUGGCUUGUGGAAGCGCCGUCGCUCAACGGAUAAAAGGUACCCCGGGGAUAACAGGCUGAUCUUCCCCAAGAGUCCAUAUCGACGGGAUGGUUUGGCACCUCGAUGUCGGCUCGUCGCAUCCUGGGGCUGGAGUCGGUCCCAAGGGUUGGGCUGUUCGCCCAUUAAAGCGGUACGCGAGCUGGGUUUAGAACGUCGUGAGACAGUUCGGUCCCUAUCCGCUGUGCGCGUAGGAGUCUUGAGAAGGGCUGUCCCUAGUACGAGAGGACCGGGACGGACGAACCUCUGGUGUGCCAGUUGUUCUGCCAAGGGCAUGGCUGGUUGGCUACGUUCGGGAGGGAUAACCGCUGAAAGCAUCUAAGCGGGAAGCCUGCUUCGAGAUGAGGACUCCCACCCACUUGAUGGGGUAAGGCUCCCAGUAGACGACUGGGUUGAUAGGCCAGGUGUGGAAGACCGGUAACGGUUGGAGCUGACUGGUACUAAUAGGCCGAGGGCUUGUCCUCAGUUG